rnacentral:rRNA from 1 species
AGAGUUUGAUCAUGGCUCAGGAUGAACGCUAGCGGCAGGCUUAAUACAUGCAAGUCGAACGGUAAGUGUUGUAGCAAUACAAUACGAGAGUGACGUACGGGUGCGUAACACGUAUGCAACCUACCCUUUACAGGAGGAUAGCUCGGGGAAACCCGAAUUAACCCUCCAUGGUAUAAUUGGAAGGCAUCUUUUAAUUAUUAAAACUCAGGGUAAAGGAUGGGGCAUGCGUCUGAUUAGUUAGUUGGCGGGGGUAACGGCCCCCCAAGACGAUGAUCAGUAGGGGAACUGAGGGUUGAUCCCCCCCACUGGCACUGAGAUACGGGCCAGACUCCCUACGGGGAGGCAGCAGUAGGGAAUAUUGGUCAAUGGAUGCAAGUCUGAACCAGCCAUGCCGCGUGCAGGAAGAAGGCCCUACGGGUUGUAAACUGCUUUUGCCAGGGGAUAAAAUGGGCAUGCGUGCCUAAUUGAAGGUACCUGGUGAAUAAGCCACGGCUAACUACGUGCCAGCAGCCGCGGUAAUACGUAGGUGGCAAGCGUUGUCCGGAUUUAUUGGGUUUAAAGGGUGCGUAGGCGGCCUUAUAAGUCAGUGCUGAAAUAUCCCGGCUUAACCGGGAGGGUGGCAUUGAUACUGUAGGGCUUGAGUAAAGUUGAGGUUGGCGGAAUUGACGGUGUAGCGGUGAAAUGCUUAGAUAUCGUCAAGAACACCGAUAGCGAAGGCAGCUAACUAAGCUUUAACUGACGCUGAGGCACGAAAGUGUGGGGAUCAAACAGGAUUAGAUACCCUAGUAGUCC